rnacentral:tRNA from 4 species
GGAGGGUUCGCAUAAUGGUAUUGCAGCGGUCUUGAAAACCGCCGGGCGUCAGCCUGUGGGGGUUCGAGUCCCUCACCCUCCG